CGGGUUCGUGCUACUCGCUGAUGAUAAGCGAUGGAUCAACACCGUAAAAUUUUCAAGAGAGAAAUUACAGGGUUACUUCCUUCAAUACUUCGAUCAUGAAAGCACGAUGGAAUGGAUGAACCUGUUCCCGGGAGACUGGAUUGAAAACGGGGUGCAGAAAAAUUUUUCCGCCUGUCAUUCACGCUCCAUCAAUGGUGAUAUUUCUCAUUUGGUUGAAGAAGAAUAUUCAGAAGAAAUAAAAGCUUAUCGCAUAGUGAAUCUGAUUGAUGAAGAUGCCGCUUCAGAUCUCCUGAAAAAAAUCAGCGAUAACAUUCCUGAUGCCGC
rnacentral:misc_RNA from 1 species